CCUAGGUGUGAAGGUCUCGUGUCGCGCAUGUGGUUACGCUCUGCUCACUAGCUGCUGAAGCGUGCAAAUUGCAUGAAUUUAUUACUUCGAACCCUUUGACUUAAAGAGAAGUAAUGACUGAGCAACUGCAUUUGCGAGGCACCCUUCGGGGUCAUAAUGGCUGGGUAACACAAAUCGCGUGUAACCCGAAGUUUCCGGAUACGAUCCUUUCAUCAUCCCGAGAUAAAACAUUGAUCUUAUGGAAGCUUACCCGUGACGACAUUAAUUACGGUAUCCCCAGAAAGCGCCUGAAAGGGCAUGGACAUUUUGUCACAGACGUUGUGAUGUCCUGUGACGGCCAAUAUGCUCUAUCCAGCUCGUGGGAUAAAACACUGCGGCUUUGGGAUCUAUGCGAGGGAACUGCCACCCGUCGAUUCGAAGGUCAUGAAAAGGAUGUUCUGAGUACUGCAUUUUCGGCGGACAAUCGGCAGAUCGUGUCAGGAUCACGAGACAAGACGAUCAAGCUGUGGAACACUCUAGCGGAGUGCAAGUACACAAUCAAGGACAACCAGCAUGAAGAUUGGGUAUCAUGUGUACGCUUUUCGCCCACAGCUGGGGACCCAACAGUGGUCUCCUGUGGAUGGGACUGGAAAGUAAAGGUGUGGAAUUUGUCCAACUGUAGGAUGCGGGCUGAGUACAGCCACUCUGGAUACGUCAAUACUGUCACUGUGUCACCGGAUGGCACACUCUGUGCGUCUGGGGGCAAGGAUUGCAAAGCCAACCUGUGGGACUUGGAGAAAAGUGAGCUUAAGUGUGUUCGGGACAACCAAGACAUCAUUAAUGCAUUGUGCUAUAGUCCAAGCAGGUACUGGCUUUGUGUUGCCACAGGAUCAUCCAUCAAGAUUUGGAACUUGGAAGACAACAGCCAGGUGGAUGAGCUGUGUCCUGAAGUGCUGACACCAAAUGCCAAAACUGAACUUCCACAGUGCAUAUCACUGGCUUGGUCAGCUGAUGGCCAAACACUGUUUGCUGGCUAUACCGACAACCUUAUCAGAGUUUGGCAGGUUUCAGUGGGCAUUACCCACUGAACAGUUGGACACAAGUUCAUAUUAUCGUCACAUAUAAAGCCAAAUGCCUGCCUGCAAAGCAUCCGAACUGGCCAUACAACACCACAAUAAAUUGCAUGAACACUCGGGGAAGGAUUUUUCAAAAAUAGUCUUCUGGUGUUAAUCGCUUGCCGAACCCUUUGCAAGUUGCUCAAGUGGUGAACAAAAUCGCCAUUGUCACUGCCCAUCUUUCAUUACGCCUCGCCUGGCCGAAGAGACGGCGUAGUGGAG
rnacentral:misc_RNA from 1 species